GCAAUUUGCAGCACACAGCGUUCCACUGCGGGGUUUCACGCUCACCUGAAAAAACCUGUUCCCCACCUACUUCUUGGUGCAAGUUGACCAAAUCGUUUUAAGUGGUAACUCUUUCCAACUGUAGCAGGGUUGUUUUCUGUUAAACGAAGCCGAGAUCUAGUGCAAUACCUGGACUGUCACCAUCCUGUGAGUGGUGUACACAAUGGGAAGAUAAGCUCUGUGGUGUUUUGCUGUGUCACAAGCAUGAAAACCUGUAUGUCAUUGAUCAGGGCCAUGUGUGGUAUGUUCCGUGAUGAGCGUUUAGUGAGCGUGCUGGCUGCAGAGCACUAUGAAAUCAUGGCAUGGGGUAGUGUCAGUCGGACUGCACAGGGAACAUGGUUUCCAGCUGCUCGAGAAACGUCUGCCUGUUCUCGAUGGUGAUGGGGUGGCUGCCAUUCCCUUGGUUUUUCUAAGCCCUUUCUAACAAGUCUCAAACAAGCGGAGACGA
rnacentral:sRNA from 1 species